rnacentral:sRNA from 1 species
AACGCAUAUUGCACUCUCUGGUAAUCCGGAGAGUAUGCCUGUUUGAGGGUCAGUAUAAUUAUAAUAAUUAUCACGAUCUCACCGAUUGUGGAAUUGGGCUCUUAUUUCGAACAGAUUUAUGGCCUUAAAUUUACGCCAUGCGAUUAAUUCGAACCAAGCGGAGCAAUUAAGCAUUCUCUCGUGGACGGAUUACUCGCAAGCCAUUACGGUUUUUUGGACGACAAAGCGCUUUCGCGAGCGCGAAGCCCAAAGGACGUAAAUUCAUUGACAAAUGACCUCAAAUCAGGCAAGAAUACCCGCCGAACUUAA